AGAGUUUGAUCCUGGCUCAGAUUGAACGCUGGCGGUAGGCCUAACACAUGCAAGUCGAGCGAGAAAGUUCCUUCGGGAACAAGUAGAGCGGCGGACGGGUGAGUAACGCGUAGGAAUUUGCCUGAUAGCGGGGGAUAGCCCGGGGAAACUCGGAUUAAUACCGCAUAUUUUCUAAGGAAAAAAGAAAGCCUCUGCUUGCAUGCUUUCGCUAUCAGAUAAGCCUGCGUCGGAUUAGCUUGUUGGUGAGGUAAUGGCUCACCAAGGCAACGAUCCGUAGCUGGUCUGAGAGGAUGAUCAGCCACACUGGGACUGAGACACGGCCCAGACUCCUACGGGAGGCAGCAGUGGGGAAUAUUGGACAAUGGGGGAAACCCUGAUCCAGCCAUACCGCGUGUGUGAAGAAGGCUCUAGGGUUGUAAAGCACUUUCGGCAGUGAAAAAAAGUCGCAGGUUAAUAGCCUAUGGCCUUGAUGUUAACUGCACAAGAAGCACCGGCUAACUCCGUGCCAGCAGCCGCGGUAAUACGGGGGGUGCAAGCGUUGAUCGGAAUUACUGGGCGUAAAGCGCUCGUAGGUGGCUUUGCAAGCCGGAUGUGAAAUCCCUGGGCUCAACCUAGGAAUUGCAUUCAGAACUGCAUGGCUUGAGUACAGUAGAGGGUAUCGGAAUUUCCGGUGUAGCGGUGAAAUGCGUAGAUAUCGGAAGGAACAUCAGUUGCGAAGGCGGAUACCUGGACUGAUACUGACACUGAGGAGCGAAAGCGUGGGUAGCAAACAGGAUUAGAUACCCUGGUAGUCCACGCCGUAAACGAUGUCAACUAGCCGUUGGUCUGACCUCUUAAUCAUUUUUUGUAUGACGUAAAUGGUUUAAGAGUGAUUAAGUGGUCAGAUUAGUGGCGCAGCUAACGCGAUAAGUUGACCGCCUGGGGAGUACGGCCGCAAGGUUAAAACUCAAAUGAAUUGACGGGGACCCGCACAAGCGGUGGAGCAUGUGGUUUAAUUCGAUGCAACGCGAAGAACCUUACCUACUCUUGACAUCCUUGGAAGCUCUUGUAAUGAGAGUGUGCCUUCGGGAACCAAGUGACAGGUGCUGCAUGGCUGUCGUCAGCUCGUGUUGUGAAAUGUUGGGUUAAGUCCCGUAACGAGCGCAACCCCUAUCUUUAGUUGCUAACAGUUCGGCUGAGAACUCUAAAGAAACUGCCAGUGAUAAACUGGAGGAAGGUGGGGACGAUGUCAAGUCAUCAUGGCCCUUACGAGUAGGGCUACACACGUGCUACAAUGGCCAGUACAGAGGGUCGCAAUCCCGCGAGGGGGAGCUAAUCUCAGAAAGCUGGUCGUAGUCCGGAUCGGAGUCUGCAACUCGACUCCGUGAAGUCGGAAUCGCUAGUAAUCGCGAAUCAGAAUGUCGCGGUGAAUACGUUCUCGGGUCUUGUACACACCGCCCGUCACACCAUGGGAGUUGGUUGCACCAGAAGUGGUUAGUCUAACCGUAAGGAAGACGGUCACCACGGUGUGGUCAAUGACUGGGGUGAAGUCGUAACAAGGUAACC
rnacentral:rRNA from 2 species